rnacentral:rRNA from 1 species
UACGUAGGGGGCAAGCGUUGUCCGGAUUCAUUGGGCGUAAAGAGCUCGUAGGCGGUUCAGUAAGUCGGGGUGUGAAAUCUCCGUGCUCAACACGGAGCGGCCACCUGAUACUGCUGUGACUCGAGUCCGGUAGGGGAGUGUGGAAUUCCUGGUGUAGCGGUGAAAUGCGCAGAUAUCAGGAAGAACACCCGUGGCGAAGGCGGCUCUCUGGG